CCCCCUCUACAAAACUUCUCCGACUCGGGUCGACCUCCUCCGACGACGGCAUCCCCCGUAUGCUGUAGUUCCCAAACCGCCGGAUCUUCACGACAUCCCCGAAUUCCACGGCUUCACCCGUUCCAGUCGAGAAUAUGCGCACAGUCCCCGGCGAAUUCCAACCGGAUCCAACCAGAACCACGCAUAGAUACCACAACGGCGCCCCCGAAUGACGCAGUUCUCCGGUCGACUGUUCCAAUCCCCCCGAAGCGUGAUCAAGUCGCUGUCUGGGUGACGAAAUCCCUGCCUGCGCGCCGGCCCUCCGACGGAAGAUUGCAGCCAAUUCGGCGCCGCUGAGCUUGACCACCAGAUCAACACCACCGCGCACGCAUAGGACGAGAUGAAGACGACAGGAACUCCCAAACAGCGGGGGGCUGAUCCGAUUGGCCUUCCCGCUCCCCUCCCACCAGAGGAAGGUGCGAUCCCUUCCUGUAUGCUCCUCCCUCCCCUGUUUUUUCCUGGAG
rnacentral:lncRNA from 1 species